rnacentral:lncRNA from 1 species
CAAUUGCCGAGAAAUGUGAGCCAUUGCCCAGAAAUUUUAGCCAUGGCUGGCCAUUGCCGAGAAAUGAUGUGCCAUUGCCUGGAAAUGUGAGCCCUUGCUGGGCAAUUGCCCAGAAAUUUGAGCCAUGGCUGCCCAUUGCCGAGAAAUUUUGUGCCAUUGCCGAGAAAAUUGGGCCAUGGUUGCCCAUUGCCGAGGAAAUGAGUGCCAUUGCCGAGAAAUGUGAACCAUGGCUGGGCAAUUUCCGAGAAAAUUGGGCCAUGGCUGGGCAUUUGUGUGCCACGGCUGAUCAUUGCCUAGAAAAUUUGAGCCAUGGCUGGCCAUUGCCGAGAAAUGUUGUGCCAUUGCCGAGAAAAUUGGGCCAUGGCUGCCCAUUGCCGAGAAAUUUGAGCCAUGGCCGGGCAAAUGUGUGCCAUUGCUGCCCAUUGCCGAGAAAUUGUGAGCCAUUGCUGCCCAUGGCCGAGAAAAUUUGUGCCAUUGCCGAGAAAAUUGGGCCAUGGCUGCCCAUUGCCGAGGAGGGGAUGGAAAAUUGAGUGCAUUGCGAGAAGAAAUGUGAACCAUGGGCUGGGCCCAUUGCCGAGAAAAAUUGGGCCAUGGCUGGGCAUUGGUGUGCCAAGGCCAGAUCAUUGCUCAGAAAUUGAAGCAUGGCUGGCCAGCCGAGAAUGUGUUGCCAUUGCCGAGAAGAAAGAAAUUUGGGCCAUUGCCGGGCAAAGUGUGCCAUUGUGCCCAUUGCCGGAAAAUUGGUGCCAUUGCCGAGAAUUGGGCCCAUGGCUGCCCAUUGCCGGAAGAAGAGAAAUCGAGCCAUUGCUCCCAUUGCCGAGGAAAAUGGAGGCCAUUGCCGAGAAAAUGUGGAACCAGGUGGGCAAUUGCCGAGAAAAUUGGGCCAUGGUUGGGCAUUUGUGUGCCAUGCUGAUCAUUGCCCAGAAAUUUGAGCCAUGGCUGGCCAUUGCGAGAAAUGUGUGCCAUGCCGAGAAAAAUUGGUCCAUGCUGCCCCAUUGCGAGAAAUCUGAGCCAUUGCGCCCCAGCCCAUUGCUGAGCGGGAAAUGAGUGCCAAUGCCGAGAAAUGUGAACCCAGGCUGGGCAAUGCCGAGGAAAAUGGGCAAUGGCGGGCAUUUUGUGUGCCAUUUGCUGAUCAUUGCCCAGAAUUGAGCCAUGGCUGGCCAUUGCCGAGAAAUGUUGUGCCAUUGCCGAGGAAAAUUGGGCCAUGGCUGCCCAUGCCGAUCAAUCUGCGCCAAUUGGCCGGGCAAAUUGUGCCAUUGCUGCCCGAUUGCCGAGAAAUUGUGGAGCCAUGCUGCCAUUGACGAGGAAAUUUGUGCCAUUGCGAAGAAAAUUGGGCCAUGGCUGCCAUUGCCAGAAAUCUGAGCCAAUGGCUGCCCAUUGCCGAAGGAAAGUGAGUGCCCUUUCCCGAGAAAUGUGAACCAUGGCUGGGCAAUGCCGAGAAUUGGGCCAUGGCUGGGCAUUGUGUGCAAGACAGAUCAUUGCCCAGAAAAGGACAAAAUUUGAGCCAUGGCUGGCCAUUGCCGAGAAAAUGUUGGCCAUUGCCGAGAAGAAAAUUGGGCAAUGGCUGCCCAUUGCCGGGGAAGAAGAAAUAUGAGCCAGCCGGGCAAAUGUGUGCCUUGCUGCCCAAUUGCCUAGAAAUUGUGAGCCAUUGACUGCCCAUUGCCGAAGAAAAGAGAAAGAAAAUUUUGUCCAUUGACGGAGAAGUGGGACCAUGGCACUUGCCCAUUGCCGAGAAAUCUGAGCCAUGGCCGGGCAAAUGCGUGCCAUGGCUGCCCAUUGCCGAGGAAAUGAGUGCCAUUGCCGAGAAAUGUGAGCCAUGGCUGGGCAAUUGCCGAGAAAAUUGGGCCAUGGCUGGGCAAAUGUGUGCCACGGCUGAUCAUUGCCCAGACAAUGUGAGCCAUUGGCCGGACGAAUUGGGCAUGGCAGACCAUUGCCCCGAAAAAUGAGUGCCCCCAUGGGCCGAGCAUGUGUUCCAAGGCUGCCCAUUGCCGAGAAAUAUGAGCCAUGGCCGGGCAAAUGUGUGCCAUGUCUGCCCAGCCCAGAAAGAAAAAUUGGUGAGCCAUGGCUGGCCCCAUUGACGGAGAGAAUCUGAGCCAUGGCCGGGCGGCCAAUUGUGAGCCUAUGGCUGGCCAGUGCCGAGAAAUGUGAGCCACGGCUGGACAAUUGCCGAGAAAAUUGGGCCAUGCCCAUAAAUUUGAGUCAUGGCUGGCCAUUGCCGAGAAAUGUUGUUCCAUUGCCGAGAAAAUUGGGCCAUGGCUGCCCAUUGCCGCCAAAAAUCUGAGCCAGGCCGGAAAAUGCGGCCAUGGCUGCCCAUUGCGAUGAAAAGUGAGCCAUUGAAUGCCCAUGCCGAGGGAACAUUGGGCCAUGGCUGCCCAUUGCCUGAGAAUAUCUGAAGCCAUGGCCGGCAAAUGCGUUGCCAGGCUGCCCAUUGCGAGAAAAGAGAAAUUGUGAGCCAUUGCUGCCAUUGCGAGAAAAUUGGGCCAUGGCUGCCCAUGCCGAGAAAUUGAGCCAUGGCUGCGGCAAAUGUGUGCCAAGGCCGCCCAUUGCCGAGAAAUUGUGAGCCAUUGCCCAGAAAUUUGAGCCAUGGCUGCCCAUUGCCGAGAAAUUUUGUGCCAUUGCCUAGAAAAUUGGGCCAUGGCUGCCCAUUGCCGAGAAAUCUGAGCCAUGGCCGGGCAAAUGGGAGCCAUUGCUCAGAAAUUUUAGCCAUGGCUGCCCAUUGCCAAGAAAUGUUGUGCCAUUGCCUAGAAAAUUGGGCCAUGGCUUCCCAUUGCCGAGAAAUUUAAGGCAUGGCCGGGCAAAUGCGUGGCAUGGCUGCCACAUUCCGAGGGAAAUGAGUGCCAUGCCGGAGAAAUGUGAAACCAGGGUGGGCAAUUGAGAGGAAAAUUGGGCCAUGGUGGGCAUUUGUGUGCCUAGGCUGACAUUGCCUCUAGAAAAAUGGAGAGCCAUUGCCCAGAACAGGAAAUGAGGCCAUGGCUGCCCAUUGCCGAGAAAUCUGAGCCAUGGCCGGGCAAAUGCGUGCCAUGGCUGCCCAUUGCCUAGAAAAUGGAGCCAUUGCCCAGAAAUUUUAGCCAUGGCUGCCCAUUGCCAAGAAAUGUUGUGCCAUUGCCUAGAAAAUUGGGCCAUGGCUUCCCAUUGCCGAGAAAUUUAAGGCAUGGCCGUGCAAAUGCGUGGCAUGGCUGGCCAUUGCCGAGGAAAUGAGUGCCAUUGCCGAGAAAUGUGAACCAUGGCUGGGCAAUUGCCGAGAAAAUUGGGCCAUGGCUGGGCAUUUGUGUGCCUAGGCUGAUCAUUGCCUAGAAAUUGUGAGCCAUUGCCCAGAAAUUUGAGCCAUGGCUGCCCAUUGCCGAGAAAUCUGAGCCAUGGCCGGGCAAA